AUUUACCAAAUAAGAUUCUGAAGAUAGGAGUGUGAAUGCAUGAUGGGAGAGAGAUAACAAGAAAGGGCUUUACAAAGAGCUCACUUCACAGACAGAAAUGACACAGAAAGGUAAAGAGCCUGGUCCAGGAUAACACAAUGAUUGUUCAAUUAUCAGAAUAUGUUGAUUAUUCUUGCCACUGGUGAACAAAGUCUAAAGAAAACUCUUCAGCACGGUUCUUCUAGCAGUCUGCUCAGCCUUACCUGCAACCCGUAACUGCUGCUAGGAGAUAAACUGAGGAAACCACAGAGCAAGGCUUUGCUCAGGCAGCCUCUACAUUGCAACCCCUUCGCUUUUGCCCUUUCUAACACCCUUGGCAUUUUACUUGUACCUAGUUUACCACUUCUUACUGUUUCUGAACAACAAUCAAACAGUCCCAUCUCCAG